rnacentral:rRNA from 1 species
CCUACGGGAGGCAGCAGUGGGGAAUAUUGCUCAAUGGGGGAAACUCUGAAGCAGCGACGUCGCGUGAGUGAUGACGUAUUUCUGUAUUUUAAGCUCUAUCUGCAGGGAAGAAAAUUACGGUACCUGACUAAGAAUCCCCGGCUAACUACGUGCCAGCAGCCGCGGUAAUACGUAGGGGGCAAGGGUUAUCCGGAUUUACUGGGUGUAAGGGGAGCGUAGACGGUUAAUCAAGUCAGAAGUGAAAACCCAGGGCUCAACCUUGGGACUGCAUUUGAAACUGCGUAGCUAGAGUGCAGGAGAGGUAAGCGGAAUUCGUAGUGUAGCGGUGAAAUGCGUAGAUAUUAGGAGGAACACCAGUGGCGAAGGCGGCUUACUGGACUGUAACUGACGUUGAGGCUCGAAAGCGUGGGGAGCAAACAGGAUUAGAUACCCUUGUAGUC